CUAGGACAAAUAAGGUAUGAUUGCUACAACAUCGUGAAUGGCUAUUUGUAUUCACACAACAGGAUCCUACCACCGACUACCAUAUGAAAUUGUAUCCACCAUCUCCCUUCUUAUCAGCUGCAAGGAACUCCACUAGGAAGCAAACCGGCUCAUCGUUGAACAUCCCCAGCAGGUUAGUGGAGUGAGCAUGGGCACCAGAAUGGGACCUAGCUAUGCCAAUAUC